GGGGAUGAUUUGAUUCGACAGGAUUAUAGAGAGCGACAUGUGCGCCACGGGAGUGAGCGUCUCCCAUACAAACACUCAAAUUCUAAGUGCGAACAAAGUAGCACGGGCAAUUUUGUCACCUAUACAGGUGGCAGACUUGCAGCCCGCUUACGCUCUCGUAGCCUAAGCGCCGUCCGCGAAGCCGAGGCUUGAUUAAGUUUCGCCGGGCGUCAAAACAUUCAGGCACUGAUGCGCGAAUUCCUGCGCGUAUCUAAGACUUCGGAAUCGGCAAUGCAUUAUUCUGUGUAUCUUACAGAUGCAAAGCUUAAAUCCGUCUUCGGACGGGAAAAGAUACUCUACGCGGCGUAGCAUCAUUCGCAAUCCUACUCCUGGACGGGAGCCCACUACUCCCCAUCUCCACAU
rnacentral:tmRNA from 1 species